AAUAAAAUAAAAUAAGAAAAAACUACCACCUAUUGAGUUUAGUUGAGCAUUAAAGAAUAUCCACAAUUAUCUGAAAAGGCAAUUAAAAUAUUUCCUCUAUUUUCCAACAUAUCUGUGUGAAUUAAGAUUUUGUCCAUUUACUUUAACCAAAAUAAUAUAUCACAACAGAGAGAAGCAAAAGCAGAUUAAAAAAAAAUCCAGCCACCUUCUUUUAAGCCAGACCUUACAAAGAUUUGCAAAAGUAUAAAACAAGGCUACUCUAUGUUUUUUGUUUUGAGAAAUAUCAGUAUUUUUCAUAAAAACAUUUAUGUUAACAUGUGUGGUGGUUUUGGAACAUGCCCACCAUUUCUCCUCCCUUCAAGAGGUGAAGCCUAAUCCCCCUACCUUUGAACAAUUUAGUGACUCAUCUCUAAUGAACACAAUAUGGCAGAAGGGAUGAUAUGUGACUUAAAAGUCUAGAUCAUAAAAGGCAUUGUGGUUUCCCCCUUGCUCUCUCGGAUCACUCACUCUGAAGAAGGCCAGCCGCCAUGUUCCGAAGACACUCAAGCAGCCCUGUGAGGAGGGUUAUAUGGCAAGAAUCGGAGGUCUCCUGCCAAGAGCCAUGUGAGUGCGCCAUCUUGGACACAGCUAUUCCAGCUCCAUUAGGCCUUGGGGUGUCUGCAACCUUAUGAGAGACUCUAAGCUAGAACCACCCAAGCUCCGUUGGCCCCAGAUUCUUGAUCCACAGAAAUUGUGUGAGACAGAUGAAUGAUCUUUAUAAUUAAGAGAAGAAAAACUUCCCUUUUGAAAAUCAUCAAAAGUGAAAGUCAGACCUGUAUUUCCUUUGGAUGAGUCGACCGUUUAAGCACAACAUGCAGAGGCCAGAUGUCUGUCGGUGCACCUGCGUGCCGGGGAGAGGUCCGAAGGGCAGAUGGUGGAUGAGGGGCCAGUAGCCACAACACCUGCCCCCCCAACAACCUCAGCCAGACUGGCUCUUUCGCGCAUGUUACACAUUGAGUUUCUGCAUAAUUUCACAUAAAAGUUUCCACUGCUUGAAAAAAAAAAAAAGUUUGAAAACCUUUACCGUGAGAAUGAAUAACAGUUGAAGAGUUAAAAUUAG